GAGUUUGAUCCUGGCUCAGAACGAACGCUGGCGGCGUGCUUAACACAUGCAAGUCAGGGAGAAAGUCUCUUCGGGGAUGAUUAAACCGGCGCACGGGUGAGUAACACGUGAGUGACCUGCCUUUUAGACUGGAACAACUUACCGAAAGGUGAGCUAAUGCCGGAUGAGUUAUAUAAGUGCAUGUUUAUAUAGGAAAAGUUGGGGAGACCUGACGCUGAAAGAUGGACUCGCGUCCCAUUAGCUAGUUGGUAGGGUAAUGGCCUACCAAGGCGACGAUGGGUAGCCGGCCUGAGAGGGUGGCCGGCCACACUGGGACUGAGACACGGCCCAGACUCCUACGGGAGGCAGCAGUGGGGAAUUUUGCGCAAUGCUCGUAAGAGUGACGCAGCGACGCCGCGUGAAUGACGAAGGCCUUCGGGUCGUAAAGUUCUUUCGACAGGGAAGAAAAUGCCUAUAAGUAACUGUGUAUGUAUUGACGGUACCUGUAUAAGCAGCCCCGGCUAACUCCGUGCCAGCAGCCGCGGUAAUACGGAGGGGGCGAGCGUUGUUCGGAGUGACUGGGCGUAAAGAGCACGUAGGCGGUGUUGUA
rnacentral:rRNA from 1 species